GACGAACGCUGGCGGCGUGCUUAACACAUGCAAGUCGAACGAAGCUUGAUUACGGAUUCUUCGGAUGAAGUAUGAUAUGACUGAGUGGCGGACGGGUGAGUAACGCGUGAGUAACCUGCCCUUCAGAGGGGGAUAGCGUUUGGAAACGAACGGUAAUACCGCAUAAUGUAUUUUGACCGCAUGAUCGAAAUACCAAAGAUUUAUCGCUGAAGGAUGGACUCGCGUCUGAUUAGGUAGUUGGUGGGGUAACGGCCUACCAAGCCGACGAUCAGUAGCCGGACGGGGAGGUUGAUCGGCCACAUUGGGACUGAGACACGGCCCAGACUCCUACGGGAGGCAGCAGUGGGGAAUAUUGCACAAUGGGCGCAAGCCUGAUGCAGCAACGCCGCGUGAAGGAAGACGGUUUUCGGAUUGUAAACUUCUGUUCUUAGUGAAGAAUAAUGACGGUAGCUAAGGAGCAAGCCACGGCUAACUACGUG
rnacentral:rRNA from 1 species